UACGGAGGGUGCGAGCGUUGUCCGGAAUCACUGGGCGUAAAGGGCGCGUAGGCGGCCUGAUAAGUAGGGGGUGAAAUCUUGCGGCUUAACCGCAAGGCUGCCUUCUAAACUGUCAGGCUAGAGCACAGUAGAGGCAGGUGGAAUUCCCGGUGUAGCGGUGGAAUGCGUAGAUAUUCGGAGGAACACCAGAAGCGAAGGCGGCCAACUGGCCCGAUACUGACGCUGAGGCGCGAAAGCGUGGGGAGCAAACAGG
rnacentral:rRNA from 1 species